UACGUAGGUGGCAAGCGUUGUUCGGAAUUAUUGGGCGUAAAGCGUCUGUAGGUGGCUUUUUAAGUCUGCCGUCAAAUCCCAGGGCUCAACCCUGGACAGGCGGUGGAAACUACCAAGCUAGAGUACGGGAGGGGAAGAGGGAAUUUCCGGUGGAGCGGUGAAAUGCGUAGAGAUCGGAAAGAACACCAACGGCGAAAGCACU
rnacentral:rRNA from 1 species